GGCCGUCGUUGAGUGCUUGAUUUUUGAUCCUCUCGUCUUCUCUUACUAUUUUUAUUCAUUUUAAGGAGAAGGGGAGCGGCGACGGACGGCGGCGGCAACAACUUCGAUUUCCCUUCUCCUCCCCCUCCUGCUGGUGGCCCGCGGGACGACGGCGAUGUGUCGGAUCACUCGACACGCGAUUGGCGGCGGGGCCUCCGCCACCGCCGCGACACCGGCCGACCAACGGCCCUCUAGCUACCGCGCCCGCUCCUCCUUCGCGCCGCGUAGAUGCCGACGGCGUCGCCGCCGCCGGCGCCGCGUCACCUUCCAGCCGCUGGACCACGAGCGGUUCUACUUCCCGAAGGGGCGCACCGGUCGGUACUAUUCACUUGGUCUCGUUACCCCAGAUGGAAGACAAUUUUUAUUCGCAGACCAGAUGAAGAUACCUUGAUUUGUCUA
rnacentral:rRNA from 1 species